rnacentral:rRNA from 1 species
AUUGAACGCUGGCGGCAGGCUUAACACAUGCAAGUCGAGCGGAGAUGAGGUGCUUGCACCUUAUCUUAGCGGCGGACGGGUGAGUAAUGCUUAGGAAUCUGCCUAUUAGUGGGGGACAACAUUCCGAAAGGAAUGCUAAUACCGCAUACGUCCUACGGGAGAAAGCAGGGGAUCUUCGGACCUUGCGCUAAUAGAUGAGCCUAAGUCGGAUUAGCUAGUUGGUGGGGUAAAGGCCUACCAAGGCGACGAUCUGUAGCGGGUCUGAGAGGAUGAUCCGCCACACUGGGACUGAGACACGGCCCAGACUCCGACGGGAGGCAGCAGUGGGGAAUAUUGGACAAUGGGGGGAACCCCGAUCCAGCCAUGCCGCGUGUGUGAGAAGGCCUUAUGGUUGUAAAGCACUUUAAGCGAGGAGGAGGCUACUGAGACUAAUACUCUUGGAUAGUGGACGUUACUCGCAGAAUAAGCACCGGCUAACUCCGUGCCAGCCGCCGCAGUAAGAC